rnacentral:ncRNA from 2 species
UAUCUUCGCGCCGGAAACGGUUCCGCUUCGGCGGAUUAAAAGGGAAGUCCGGUUAAUUCCGGCGCUAUCCCCGUAGCUGUAAUGUGGAGAGAUGGAGGGAUGGAGAGAUGGAGAUAGAGAGAUGGAGAGAUUGAAAGUCCCGAAAAUUUCACUGUUAGUUUAGAGACCACUAUCCGCAGGAGCGGGUGGGAAGGUAACUGACAGACACGAGCCAGAAGACCUGCCGCGUCCAUCAAUCAACA